rnacentral:rRNA from 1 species
AUGAACGCUGGCGGCGUGCCUAAUACCUGCAAGUCGAGCGAACAGACGAGGAGCUUGCUCCUCUGACGUUAGCGGCGGACGGGUGAGUAACACGUGGAUAACCUACCUAUAAGACUGGGAUAACUUCGGGAAACCGGAGCUAAUACCGGAUAAUAUAUUGAACCGCAUGGUUCAAUAGUGAAAGACGGUUUUGCUGUCACUUAUAGAUGGAUCCGCGCCGCAUUAGCUAGUUGGUAAGGUAACGGCUUACCAAGGCAACGAUGCGUAGCCGACCUGAGAGGGUGAUCGGCCACACUGGAACUGAGACACGGUCCAGACUCCUACGGGAGGCAGCAGUAGGGAAUCUUCCGCAAUGGGCGAAAGCCUGACGGAGCAACGCCGCGCGAGUGAUGAAGGUCUUCGGAUCGUAAAACUCUGUUAUUAGGGAAGAACAAAUGUGUAAGUAACUAUGCACGUCUUGACGGUACCUAAUCAGAAAGCCACGGCUAACUACGUG